GAUGAAGAACGUAGCGAAAUGCGAUAAGUAAUGUGAAUUGCAGAAUUCAGUGAAUCAUCGAAUCUUUGAACGCACCUUGCACCCUUUGGCAUUCCGAAGGGUAUGCUCGUUUGAGUGUCAUUGUACUCUCACUCUCCCGAUACUUUUGGAUCGGGAGUGGUGGACUUGGGUGCUGCAGCUUAACUGUGGCUCGCCUUAAAUGAAGUAGUGCAACUCUCGGUUGGACAUAGUACGGCGUGAUAAGUGUCUUCGCCGGCGCCUCAUUCGAGGGUGGCCGAUCGGGAGCUCUGUGCUUCAAACUGUCUUCGGACAACAUCUGACAACUUGACCUCAAAUCGAGUAGGACUACCCGCUGAACUUAAGCAUAUCAAUAAGCGGAGGA
rnacentral:misc_RNA from 1 species